rnacentral:rRNA from 1 species
GAACGCUGGCGGCGUGCCUAAUACAUGCAAGUCGAGCGAACAGACGAGGAGCUUGCUCCUCUGACGUUAGCGGCGGACGGGUGAGUAACACGUGGAUAACCUACCUAUAAGACUGGGAUAACUUCGGGAAACCGGAGCUAAUACCGGAUAAUAUAUUGAACCGCAUGGUUCAAUAGUGAAAGACGGUUUUGCUGUCACUUAUAGGUGGAUCCGCGCCGCAUUAGCUAGUUGGUAAGGUAACGGCUUACCAAGGCAACGAUGCGUAGCCGACCUGAGAGGGUGAUCGGCCACACUGGAACUGAGACACGGUCCAGACUCCUACGGGAGGCAGCAGUAGGGAAUCUUCCGCAAUGGGCGAAAGCCUGACGGAGCAACGCCGCGUGAGUGAUGAAGGUCUUCGGAUCGUAAAACUCUGUUAUUAGGGAAGAACAAAUGUGUAAGUAACUAUGCACGUCUUGACGGUACCUAAUCAGAAAGCCACGGCUAACUACGUG